GACGAACGCUGGCGGCGUGCCUAAUACAUGCAAGUCGAACGCAGUGGGGACGGGUGAGUAACACGUGGGUAACCUCCCAUCAGAGGGGAUAACACUUGGAAACAGGUGCUAAACCGAUACUGCUGGAUGGACCCGCGGUGCAUUAGCUAGUUGGUGGGGUAAAGGCUCACCUAGGCGACGAUCCCUAGCUGGUCUGAGAGGAGGAUCGGCCACACUGGGACUGAGACACGGUCCAGACUCCUACGGGAGGCAGCAGUGGGGAAUAUUGCGCAAUGGGCGAAAGUCUGAUUGAGCAAUGCCGCGUGAAUGAAGAAGGCCUUCGGGUCGUAAAGUACUUUCAGCGGGGAGGCGUUACCCGCAGAGAAAGCAACGGCUAACUCCGUGCCAGCAGCCGCGGUAAUAC
rnacentral:rRNA from 1 species